rnacentral:snoRNA from 1 species
CCAGCAUGUCCAUAGAUCCUCCCUCAGUCAGUGGGGCCAGGAUUUGGUAGCUGGUACUGAAGGAAAUCCUUGAUUACAUUCUUGAUCUGGUACUGUACCAGUGUCACUUGUCUCUCAAGGGAACGGGU